AUUUUAUUUAUUUAUCUUUAUUAACUUUAUUUUAUGUGAAUCGGUAUGAAGGUGUCAAAUCCCCUGGAACUGGAUUUUCAGACAGUUGUAAGCUGCCAUGUGGUUGCUGGGAAUUGAACCCAGGUCCUCUGGAAGAACAGAGUUCUUAACCGCUGAGCCAUCUCUCCAGUCCUUGUCCUUUAUUUUUAAAAUAUUUCUUGAGUAUAUCACAUUAAACAACAACAACAACAACAGGAAAACAAUCACAUCCUUCCUUUGUUGUUACAGCUGGAUGAACACAGGUUAGGUAAUUGUAGAGAUUUCAAGGUUCCAGACGCACUGGCCCUCCCACCGCCAGGAUCUUCUGUUGCGCCAUAGCAUGGUAGGGGACCUCACAUGACAGCAGGCACACUUGUUUAACAGCCUUAUCUUAUAAAGCCACCAAAGUCACGAGGGUCCAACUACCCAAGCCAUUAGCAGACGGCUGGGGUUAGGACUUCUUAACACGUGUACUUGGGGACACGCUCAAGUUGGUAGGGUCCCAGGGGGCAUGACUGGGCGAUAUGCUUCUUUCUGUUAACUUGUGGAGGUCAGAGGACGACUUGAGAACCAGUUCUCUCCACCCACCACGUGGGUUUCAGGACUCCAAUGCAGAUGGUCAGGCUGCUAGGCAAGACUUCAUGCAGGCCUGCAGGUCCCCUGCCGCAUUUUGACCAUCCAUCGUCUGUGGGUCAUUCCAGUGUCCUGCCUUGGCUGACCACUAGGACCCAGAACAGCUAAGUGAAGGGGCAGCCGCGAGCUCCUUAAGAUGAGACUGGGUUGGGGUUGGGCAGGUGCCAGCUUCACCUGUCUCAAGCCUCAGCUCUUGGCUGUAGGCUCAGACCAAGUAUCGUUGGGCUAGGAUCCAGGAAAACCACUUAGACCUUUGGGAACUGAGGAGUUGACAACUCAGGUGCUCCACCUAGGAUGCUAUAUGCAUCAGCCCCGGGUUGGGAUGUUCAGGUGCUCCACCUAGGAGGCUAUAUGCAUCAGCCCCACGUUGGGAUGUUCAGGAUGUUCCAUUUUUUUCACUACUAGCCCAUCUGUUUCAAUUCUGACCUUGAAAACAUCAAGCUGUCUGGAUAGUAAGUAACAAAAUAAAAACAAAAC